GAAUGUGUAGAAUGUCUUACUUUUUGCGAUAACACGCAAUCAAUACAACUUUCAACAACGGAUCUCUUGGCUCUCGCAUCGAUGAAGAACGCAGCGAAAUGCGAUACGUAAUGUGAAUUGCAGAAUUCAGUGAAUCAUCGAAUCUUUGAACGCACCUUGCGCCCCUUGGUAUUCCGAGGGGCACACCCGUUUGAGUGUCGUGACAUCCUCAACCUUAUCGGUUUCUAGACCCAAAAGGUUGGACUUUGGAGGUUCUUUCCUGCUGGUCUCCUUCGAAGCCAGCUCCUCCUAAAUGGAUUAGUAGGGUCUACUUUGCCGAUCCUUGACGUGAUAAGAUGUUUCUACGUCUAGGGUUUUUGCACUGUUAUUUGGAUCCUGCUUCUAACCGUCUUUCAAAAGACAAUGUUUGAAAACUUGACCUCAAAUCGGGUGAGACUACCCGCUGAACUUAAGCAUAUCA
rnacentral:rRNA from 1 species